rnacentral:rRNA from 1 species
GUCUAUGGCCAUACCACCCUGAAUGUACCCUAUCUCAUCUGAUCUCAGAAGCUAAGCAGGGUCAGGCCUGGUUAGUACUUGGAUGGGAGACCGCCUGGGAAUACUGGGUGCUGUAGGCU